rnacentral:rRNA from 1 species
GAUGAACGCUGGCGGCGUGCCUAAUACAUGCAAGUCGAGCGAAUGGAUUAAGAGCUUGCUCUUAUGAAGUUAGCGGCGGACGGGUGAGUAACACGUGGGUAACCUGCCCAUAAGACUGGGAUAACUCCGGGAAACCGGGGCUAAUACCGGAUAACAUUUUGAACCGCAUGGUUCGUACUUGAAAGGCGGCUUCGGCUGUUACUUAUGGAUGGACUCGCGUCGCAUUAGCUAGUUGGUGAGGUAACGGCUCACCAAGGCAACGAUGCGUAGCCGACCGGAGAGGGUGAUCGGCCACACUGGGACUGAGACACGGCCCAGACUCCUACGGGAGGCAGCAGUAGGGAAUCUUCCGCAAUGGACGAAAGUCUGACGGAGCAACGCCGCGUGAGUGAUGAAGGCUUCCGGGUCGUAAAACUCUGUUGUUAGGGAAGAACAAGUGCUAGUUGAAUAAGCUGGCACCUUGACGGUACCUAACCAGAAAGCCACGGCUAACUACGUGCCAGCCGCCGCAGUAA